AGAGUUUGAUCCUGGCUCAGGAUGAACGCUAGCGGGAGGCUUAACACAUGCAAGUCGAGGGGUAACAUUGGAGCUUGCUCCAGAUGACGACCGGCGCACGGGUGCGUAACGCGUAUGCAACUUGCCCUUAACAGGAGGAUAGCUCAGGGAAACCUGGAUUAAUACUCCAUAGUCUUGUUUUAUCACAUGAUAGAAUAAGUAAAACUUCGGUGGUUAAGGAUAGGCAUGCGUGACAUUAGCUAGUUGGUGAGGUAAGGGCUCACCAAGGCAACGAUGUCUAGGGGUUCUGAGAGGAUGAUCCCCCACACUGGUACUGAGACACGGACCAGACUCCUACGGGAGGCAGCAGUGAGGAAUAUUGGUCAAUGGGCGCAAGCCUGAACCAGCCAUCCCGCGUGAAGGAAGACUGCCCUAUGGGUUGUAAACUUCUUUUGUGAAGGAAGAAAAGCAUCUACGUGUAGAUGUCUGCCUGUACUUCACGAAUAAGCACCGGCUAACUCCGUGCCAGCAGCCGCGGUAAUACGGAGGGUGCAAGCGUUAUCCGGAUUUAUUGGGUUUAAAGGGUCCGUAGGCGGAUUCUUAAGUCAGUGGUGAAAUCCUGCAGCUUAACUGUAGAACUGCCAUUGAAACUGAGAGUCUUGAGUGUGGUUGAGGUAGGCGGAAUGUGUAGUGUAGCGGUGAAAUGCUUAGAUAUUACACAGAACACCGAUUGCGUAGGCAGCUUACUAAGCCAUAACUGACGCUGAUGGACGAAAGCGUGGGUAGCGAACAGGAUUAGAUACCCUGGUAGUCCACGCCGUAAACGAUGAUAACUAGCUGUUUGCGAUACACAGUAAGCGGCAAAGCGAAAGCAUUAAGUUAUCCACCUGGGGAGUACGGUCGCAAGAUUGAAACUCAAAGGAAUUGACGGGGGCCCGCACAAGCGGAGGAACAUGUGGUUUAAUUCGAUGAUACGCGAGGAACCUUACCUGGGCUUAAAUGUAUUUUGUAUGAUUUGGAAACAGAUCUUUCCUUCGACAAUUUACAAGGUGCUGCAUGGUUGUCGUCAGCUCGUGCCGUGAGGUGUCGGGUUAAGUCCCAUAACGAGCGCAACCCCUAUCGUUAGUUGCUAGCAGGUAAUGCUGAGGACUCUAACGAGACUGCCGGUGUAAACCGAGAGGAAGGUGGGGAUGACGUCAAAUCAGCACGGCCCUUACGUCCAGGGCUACACACGUGUUACAAUGGCCGAUACAGAGGGCAGCUACAUAGUGAUAUGAUGCAAAUCUCGAAAGUCGGUCUCAGUUCGGAUCGGAGUCUGCAACUCGACUCCGUGAAGGUGGAUUCGCUAGUAAUCGCAUAUCAGCCAUGAUGCGGUGAAUACGUUCCCGGGCCUUGUACACCACCGCCCGUCAAGCCAUGGAAGUUGGGGGUACCUGAAGUCUGUCACCGUAAGGAGCGGCCUAGGGUAAAACCGA
rnacentral:rRNA from 1 species